GUCCUCCUUCAACCCCCUCUCCUCCUGGUUCCUCCUCUGCCCCUCCCUUAGCAUUUUGGUCUACGGUUCUAUCUUUCUGUGUACUGGUUCUUCUGGUUGUACUGGUGAGACGAUGCCUCCACAGGAAACCUAAAGAGAGUGAUCCAGCUGCAGUCUACUCAGCAGUGAGAGGAGCAGGAGACGUCAGUUAUGGACAAAUAGUCAUCAGACCACACAGGACGAGAGAGUUUCCAGCAGAGCCAGAGGUCGUCUACUCUUCACUGAGGUAGACCUUCACACCUUCACACCAGUCCAACCACUGAUGUCCAGCUGGCCUGGGACUGGUCCCCAGAGCCCCUCACACCUCAGCACAUUAAUUUAUUAGAUUUCACUGUUAAAGCUACAAAGAGA